AUUGAACGCUGGCGGCAGGCCUAACACAUGCAAGUCGAGCGGAUGACGGGAGCUUGCUCCUUGAUUCAGCGGCGGACGGGUGAGUAAUGCCUAGGAAUCUGCCUGGUAGUGGGGGACAACGUUUCGAAAGGAACGCUAAUACCGCAUACGUCCUACGGGAGAAAGCAGGGGACCUUCGGGCCUUGCGCUAUCAGAUGAGCCUAGGUCGGAUUAGCUAGUAGGUGAGGUAAUGGCUCACCUAGGCGACGAUCCGUAACUGGUCUGAGAGGAUGAUCAGUCACACUGGAACUGGGACACGGUCCAGACUCCUACGGGAGGCAGCAGUGGGGAAUAUUGGACAAUGGGCGAAAGCCUGAUCCAGCCAUGCCGCGUGUGUGAAGAAUGUCUUCGGAUUGUAAAGCACUUUAAGUUGGGAGGAAGGGCAGUAAGCUAAUACCUUGCUGUUUUGACGUUACCGACAGAAUAAGCACCGGCUAACUCUGUGCCAGCCGCCGCGGUAAAAC
rnacentral:rRNA from 1 species